rnacentral:rRNA from 1 species
CCUACGGGUGGCAGCAGUGAGGAAUAUUGGACAAUGGGCGCGAGCCUGAACCUGCCAAGUAGCGUGAAGGAUGACUGCCCUACGGGUUGUAAACUUCUGUUAUAAAGGAAUAAAGUGAGGCAAGUGUACCUUUUUGUAUGGACUUUAUGAAUAAGGAUCGGCUAACCCCGUGACAGCAGCCGCGGUAAUACGGAGGAUCCGAGCGUUAUCCGGAUUUAUUGGGUUUAAAGGGAGCGUAGGUGGGUUGUUAAGUCAGUUGUGAAAGGUUGCGGCGCAACCGGCAAAUUGCAAUUGAUACUGGCAGUCUUGAUUACAGUUGAGGUAGGCGGAAUUCGUGGUGUAGCGGUGAAAUGCUUAGAUAUCACGAAGAACUCCGAUUGCGAAGGCAGCUUACUAGACUGCCACUGACAUUGAGGCUCGAAAGCGUGGGUAGCAAACAGGAUUAGAUACCCCAGUAGUC